rnacentral:lncRNA from 1 species
UCAUGAAUUUAUUUUCAAUGCUGAAGUGCAUCUUUGAGCCUUUUCUUCCAGGAAGAAUAUAGGGGUGGUAAAAACAUCUGAGCUUAUUUACUGUUGCUCCUAAUGGUAGUCUGAAUGGUUACAGAACUCUAGGCUUAGACUUAUUUUCCCCACAGUAUAUGAUAUGGGUUUUGUCAUCUACUAUCCUAUUGCAGAUGAGAUGUUUGAGGCCUAGUAGAUUUUGUAUUUCUUUAUAAGUAACAUUUCUCUCUCCUCUCUCUCCUCUCCCCACCUCUAUAACUAUAUACAUAUAUAUAUGUACAUACACACAUAUAUAUUAGUUCAUUCUCACACUGCUAUAAAGAAACACCUGAGACUGGGUAAUUUAUAAAAGAAAGAGGUUUAAUUACUCACAGUUCCACAGGCUAUACAGGAGGCAUGGCUGGGGAGGCCUCAGGAAACUUACAAUCAUGGUGGAAGGGGAAGCAGGCACAUCUUACAUGACUGUAGGUGAGAGAGAGAGUGUGUGUGGAAGUGAAGGAGGAAGAGCCCCUUAUAAAGCCAUCAGAUCUCCUGAGAACUCACUCAUGAUCACAAGAACAGCAUGGGGGAAACUGCCCCCAUGAUCCAAUCACCUCCUACCAGGUCUCUCCCUCAACACCUGGGGAUUACAAUUCAAGAUGAGAUUUGGGUGAGGACACAAAGCCUAUCCAUAUCACUCUCUCUCUUUCUGUUUCUCUGAGCUUACAGGAUUCUCUAUUACUGGAGGUCACAAAUUCCAGGAAGAAGUGUCUGGAUCUUUUUGCAACACUGUAGUUGGUCAGUGAAUGGAGAUUUUAUUUAAGUCUGAAGAUGUUAUCUUCAAUUUAGGGAAAUUUACUGUAUUGUUCAUUUCAUGUCUUUAGCUUAACAGGAAAUCCUAUUAGGUGGACAGUGGGUCUCUUGGAUUUACUAUCCAUGUCUCAACAUAUUCUCAAUCUUCAUCCCUUAUCUUUUAAAAAUUAUGUUCUCAAAGAGUCUAUCAGUUUAAUCUUUUGAUCUAAUAUUUAGGUCUGUGGUAAUUUCCAUGAUUUUAUUCAAUCGUAUUAGAUAUUUUCUGAAAAUAUUUUAACUUUACAGUUAUUUUCGUCUUUAGCAGUCUGUUCAUAGCAGUAGUAUGUCCGAGGAUACUAAUCUAUGCUGUUACAUAUUAAUCAUCUUAAAAUAUUAAAACAGGAUGAGCCAGUGAACCUCAAAGGGGAAAAAUAGAUGAGAUUUAAAUGGCCAUAUAUCUGAAGCAGCGAGACUCCACAUAGCCUACACAGGGGUCCCUUUCUGUAAGAGAAAUGUUGUAAUAUUCCUUUUGCUGUCCUGAAAUGAAGUUCACUGAAAUAAUCUACAUAAUCAACAAGAAACCCCAUUGUAAUGGAAGAGAUAAAUAAAAGGAAAACCAUUGAAAAUAUGACAUAUUUUCGUACAUAAAGGCUCAAGCAGCACUGCUGUAGAAGAAAACAGAAAUCGAAUGGAUGUAGUUACUGUGUGUGCCACAGCAAAGGUGUGGACAAAUGAGACAGCUUUACCUCAAGUUACAGAAACAUGAUAAAGCACAAUGCAGUGGAAACAGCGUGGAGCUGGAGGAUGCCAGACGACAUUCCAGCCCUGAUUCCACUGCUCAUCACCAAUGUCACCCUGGGCAAGGUACUCCAGCCCUGCUGCUCAGUUUGCUCCACUGUAAAAUAUGAAGAUAAUAUCUUCCAUGUAAGAUAGUUGUGGGAUUAAAUGAGAUCAUGUAUGGAAAUUAUAAAGAUGUUCUAUGAUUAAUAAGUACAAUUUGGCCAGGCAGUGAUUAGGCCUGUGUAUGUGUAUAAGAUAGCUGUUACAAAAGUAAAAUAUUUUCUGUCCUCCAGAAGCUUAAGUGUAACUGAACACGCAUUUGGGGAUAAAACGGUGGCAGUAGAAGAAAUGGCAUUAAUACAACUAAGGGACAUUCCUUUCUAAUUGUUAUCAGUUACACUGCAUACCCAGUGGUUGAAAAUAAAAAUUGGUUCACUUCCUAUUGGGGAUUACCUAAUUAGUUCCUGAUGUGUCACUUGGUAGGAAGCUAUGAAAUUUUUAAAAAAAUGAUAAAGCUUCUGGCCAGGCCUGGUGGCUCACGCCUGUAAUCCCAGCACUUUGGGAGGCUGAGGCAGGCAGAUCACAAGGUCAAGAAAUC